AUCUUUGUGCAGUGGCAGUAUCAUAGCCGAUGAGAUUAAGCUGAGGUGUGAUUAUUGCUAGUUGAUUAUUUCCCCCAGUUU
rnacentral:snRNA from 1 species